AGCACUCUGCCACUCAGCCACGUUCUCAGUCCCUCAGCCCCUUGAGUAGCUAUGAUUACAGGCAUGAUCCACAGGAGCCCAGCUAAGAGUUGUCUUUUUUUAGUAAUAGAAAUAAAUGUUUCCUAUUUGAUUAUAGCAGUGUUACACAACUUACACACAUUUGUCACACCUAAUCAGAACUGUUAAUAAAUUAAUUUUAUUGUGUGUAGCUUAUACCUUAGUAAUAAAAAAAAGAAAUUAAAGGUUCAAAGAUCUUUAACACAAUCUGAAAAAAUUUUAAAGAUUUGAAAGUAGAAGG